CAAUGGGGCCGAGCGUGAUCCAGCAAUGCCGCGAGCAGGAAGAAGGCCUUCGGGUUGUAAACCUCUUUUGUNCGGNACGAAAAGCUUUCGCUUAAUACCGGGAGGUAAUGACGGUACCGUAGGAAUAAGCCCCGGCUAACUACGUGCCAGCAGCCGCGGUAAUACGUAGGGUGCGAGCGUUAAUCGGAAUUACUGGGCGUAAAGCGUGCGCAGGCGGUUCUUUAAGUCAGGCGUGAAAUCCCCGGGCUCAACCUGGGAAUUGCCCUUGAGACUGCCGGGCUGGAGUGCGGCAGAGGGGGAUGGAAUUCCCGGUGUAGCAGUGAAAUGCGUAGAUAUGCGGAGGAACACCGAUGGCGAAGGCAAUCCCCUGGGCCUGCACUGACACUCAUGCACGAAAGCGUGGGGAGCAAACAAGAUUAGAUACCCUGGUAGUC
rnacentral:rRNA from 1 species